rnacentral:rRNA from 1 species
UACAGAGGUCCCGAGCGUUGUUCGGAUUCAUUGGGCGUAAAGGGUGCGUAGGCGGCGGGGCAAGUCUGAUGUGAAAUCCCGGGGCUCAACCCCGGAACUGCAUUGGAUACAGCCUUGCUUGAGUACUGGAGAGGGAACUGGAAUUUACGGUGUAGCAGUGAAAUGCGUAGAGAUCGUAAGGAAGACCAGUGGCGAAGGCGGGUCUCUGGACAGUUCCUGACGCUGAGGCACGAAGGUCAGGGGAGCAAACGGG